GAUGAACGCUGGCGGCGUGCCUAAUACAUGCAAGUCGAGCGAACGGACGAGAAGCUUGCUUCUCUGAUGUUAGCGGCGGACGGGUGAGUAACACGUGGAUAACCUACCUAUAAGACUGGGAUAACUUCGGAAAACCGGAGCUAAUACCGGAUAAUAUUUUGAACCGCAUGGUUCAAAAGUGAAAGACGGUCUUGCUGUCACUUAUAGAUGGAUCCGCGCUGCAUUAGCUAGUUGUUAAGGUAACGGCUUACCAAGGCAACGAUGCAUAGCCGACCUGAGAGGGUGAUCGGCCACACUGGAACUGAGACACGGUCCAGACUCCUACGGGAGGCAGCAGUAGGGAAUCUUCCGCAAUGGGCGAAAGCCUGACGGAGCAACGCCGCGUGAGUGAUGAAGGUCUUCGGAUCGUAAAACUCUGUUAUUAGGGAAGAACAUAUGUGUAAGUAACUGUGCACAUCUUGACGGUACCUAAUCAGAAAGCCACGGCUAACUACGUG
rnacentral:rRNA from 1 species